rnacentral:misc_RNA from 1 species
AGAAACCCUAGUUUCUAAUUUACGAUGGCUGCUUCUAAUUUACCAGAUGCUGAUUCGGUGACGGCAUCGACUGCCGAUCAUUCUCCUCGUAAUUCUGGACAGCCCCAGCAGCUCAAGUACAUGACAGUUCUCAAAGAUUCCUCCGAUUGCUUCCAUUUUUUAUCGGAAACCGCCGCAGCCGACGGAGUAGAAAGCUUCUUAGCCUGAGAAACCGAUCUGACAUGGUUUUUAGCGUACUGUUGAACCGAUCUAAUUGUAUGAUUCCACCGGCAAAUCCCUUGAUCUUUUAAGGCUUCAACCACUCCAACGCUGGCGGCUACAACCCAAGCUCUUCUCGAACAACUCAUUUUUGCUAUCUCUGCG